rnacentral:misc_RNA from 1 species
GGUAAGCAAUGUUGUGUUUAUCUAAAAAUGACAAAGUUUGGGGAUUUUCAAAACCAACAAUUUCGAACCGAAGUGAACUGAAUCAAUUUGACUUAGUUCCUCUCUCAGUUUGAUUACUAUUAAGGGUGUCCAAUCAGUUAGUUCGAUUCUGAACUGAACCGAACCAAAACGAAAAAACCGAAAUACUAAAAUCCUAAAAAAUAAAAACCGAAUCGAAUUGAAAUUAUAAAAUCGAAUUCGUUGGUUUUGAACAGAAAGCACAAGCAGAAUGCCCAACGCAUGAAGAUAAAGCACAACUUGAUUAUUUUAACAUAGUAAAAAAUGUUUUCUUCCUGAAGAACAAAGUACAAUAAGAAAACUUGGUUGAUGCCAAAGUAGAAUGAUGUGAAUUGUUGGGCACCACAAAUCGCUAAGGUAGCACCACGUGAGAAUAAGCCACCUAAGUAGAAUUCACUAUUGAAAAUCGGCUUGUAAUGGGAGGGUGCCUAGGGACUUGUUAACCUCUUACUAAGACUGUUCCUUAGCAAUGUGGGCCUAGGCCACUACUCUGUG